UACGUAGGGUGCGAGCGUUAAUCGGAAUUACUGGGCGUAAAGCGUGCGCAGGCGGUUUUGUAAGCCAGAUGUGAAAGCCCCGGGCUUAACCUGGGAAUGGCAUUUGGGACUGCAAGGCUUGAGUGCGGCAGAGGAGACUGGAAUUCCUGGUGUAGCAGUGAAAUGCGUAGAUAUCAGGAGGAAUACCGAUGGCGAAGGCAGGUCUCUGGGCUGACACUGACGCUCAUGUACGAAAGCGUGGGGAGCAAACAGG
rnacentral:rRNA from 1 species